AUUGAACGCUGGCGGCAGGCCUAACACAUGCAAGUCGAACGAGUGGCGGACGGGUGAGUAAUGUCUGGGGAACUGCCUGAUGGAGGGGGAUAACUACUGGAAACGGUGGCUAAUACCGCAUACUAUCGGAUGUGCCCAGAUGGGAUUAGCUUGUUGGUGGGGUAACGGCUCACCAAGGCGACGAUCCCUAGCUGGUCUGAGAGGAUGACCAGCCACACUGGGACUGAGACACGGCCCAGACGCCUACGGGAGGCAGCAGUGGGGAAUAUUGCACAAUGGGCGCAAGCCUGAUGCAGCCAUGCCGCGUGUAUGAAGAAGGCCUUCGGGUUGUAAAGUACUUUCAGCGGGGAGGCGUUACCCGCAGAAGAAGCACCGGCUAACUCCGUGCCAGCAGCCGCGGUAAUUC
rnacentral:rRNA from 1 species